GUCACCUCAAAGUCAACAUCAAUCCGAAACACCAGCCUUACAAUGGGUUCCAAUGACGUUAUCAAAUCGAUAAUAACAGGAAAUUUCAAAAGAAAUAAAAUUAAUGUAGUAUAGAUUCGUUGGGCUCUGGGCCCAAAAUUAACAACGGAGGGUACGACGAGUCGUAUUCAAUCAUAUAACUCAAUUCAAUUCAAAUUCAAAAGCAGGUCUAGUGACGUGUAGAAUGAGUGAUCUAGUUGGAAACCAACUAUCCCUCCCACAUCGUUCAGUUGAGAAAUAGCUAAACAUUUUAUAAGCAAAGGCAAGGUCACUAGUGGUCGUCUCUUCGGAGACAUCCGAUAAAAUUGGAACGAUACAGAGAAGAUUAGCAUGGCCCCUGCGCAAGGAUGACACGCACAAAUCGAGAAAUGGUCCAAAUUUUUUUACCUUCUGAAUAUUUGAGCUGGGUUUCUCACAAUGGUUUGAUUUUGAACCGGGUUUGAUUAUUUUGUAUGAAUUUAUUUUUGAGCUGGGUUUCUCACAAUGGUUUGAUAAUUUUGUAAAUUUUCAGCUGGGUGGUUUAUUUUGAACUGGGUUUGAUUAUUUUGUAUGAAUUUUUAGCUGGGUAGUUUGAUUUUGAAGUGGGUUUUGUUUGAUUAUUUGGUUUGAAUGUUUGGGUUUCUAGGUUUUUGUUAUUUGAUUGUUGCAUGCUAAAUUUAAUUAAUGGGGUUGUGGGUGUUAUUGGAUUGGCGUUUCUGAAAUAUCUUUUUAACAGAAUUUGACCGCCCUUUAAUAACUCAUUUCGCCAUGGCUUCUGUAUCUCUUCAUGCUGUUUGUUUUCAACACACAAAUAUUGAAGUAUAAGCAAUAAUAUAUUGAUAGGAUCUAUUUAUUUUAAGCUCACCAGUUUUUCACUUCUGUGGAAGCCCUUUCAUAAGCCUCUGAUGAGCUCAGCUCUAAUUUUUUUCUUUUCUUCAUAAUGAUUGCCUUACAAAUUUCUAUUUCUGUUCUUAAUUGCUGAUGAACAUAAACUGUUGUUUGCAGUGACUUAUAUUUAGAGUGGUUGCAUUCAUUGGAUAAUUUUCUUGGGUUCCUUGUGAAAAUUACAAUUAACCAGUUUUUCUUUAGUUGCUAUCCUACCUUUUUGGUAAGAUCCAUAUCACUAAACUUAGAAUAUUUGUAUGAGGCUUGAAGGUCAUCGAUGAGGUAUUUCACAGUGCAGAUGGUUGAUGUUUCAUAAAUUAUUCUGUUUAAUGCAAUUUGAUUCCUUGAUUUACAGUUUGACUUGGUUAUUCUGAUAUUCCAAUGUAAACAGAAUAUCACUUACAUUAUUUGCCAACUGAUACUGACACAGCAAAUAUAAAGGCCCCAGGGAGAGAGCUUCAAAGGGGAUGCAACUUGAAGAGAGAGUGGUUCAGAGUUAUCAAUUUCAACAGUUCAAGAGGAUGACAUGUGGUAGGCUAUGAGUGGAGAGAAUCAUGAAAUGAUAAUAAAAGGGGAGUGUAGAGUGAUGGGGUUGGUGCUUUAGAGUCAGUUCCCAUGACAUGAUAAUAACAGAUGACACAAAAGGGAGAUUAGGCACCCCUAGAGACAACAAGCACACUUGACAGUAAAUUGGUUGGGCAGUUAUGAGAGGAGCAAGGAUAACAUAGAGAGUUUGAAGAGGAGGAUGAAUCAAGCAGGAAAACUGUCGAAAACAACUGGGGGAGAAACCUAGUCUCCCGAAUACCAAGCGUGGAGAGGGUGUAGCUGCUCUUUGUUAUUUUAGCAAUUGCCUUGGGAGGAGCUAGCACCUCUGUUACAAGCAUAUUUCAUUUCUCUAUACUCGAUUGCUAUUGUUUUGUCGUUUUGCAAAACUUAAGAUGUAGUGUUAGAUUGGAGAUAUAUCUAAAUUUCACUUUGGUUUA